GCGAGUGUGCCGAAAUUGGUAGCCGGGUGAAUCUUAGGAAUUCAUGAUUUUCGGAUCGUAAGAGUUCAAGUCUCUUUACUCGUA
rnacentral:tRNA from 2 species